rnacentral:lncRNA from 1 species
UGAGGGGUCCCGCACGCCUGGAGCAGAGAGGGUCUGUGUCAAGAGCGGCGGGGGCUGCAGGAGGCAAGAGAGACGGAUGUCUGGCACCAUGGGGCAUGCGUCCGCUUCUGAGUCACAUGUUCAUUGACAACUGAGGCUCCAGCACUGGAUCCAGGCUUGCUGAUUGAUAGAGGCUGGUGAGUGAGGGGACAAGCUGGAAAGCUCCUGAGCUGCCCCCCGCC